rnacentral:rRNA from 1 species
UACGGAGGGUGCGAGCGUUGUCCGGAAUCAUUGGGCGUAAAGGGCGCGUAGGUGGCCCGGUCAGUUCGUGGUGAAAGCGCGGGGCUCAACCCUGCGUCGGCCAUGAAUACUGCCGCGGCUGGAGCACUGUAGAGGCAGGCGGAAUUCCGCGUGUAGCAGUGAAAUGCGUAGAUAUGCGGAGGAACACCGAUGGCGAAGGCAAGCCCCUGGGCCUGCACUGACGCUCAUGCACGAAAGCGUGGGGAGCAAACAGG